rnacentral:misc_RNA from 1 species
CGAGAGGCGCUUCAGUGCGAACGUGUGGUCGUGUGGCUCUUCCUGCUGAGUUGAAGUUCGGCAUUUUCGGAACGGAACCAAUCGGAACGUCGAGUUGCCGGAGCGUGGAUCCCUUGGAUACUUGCGGUCGUUGUGCAAGUACGCGGCAGUCACGUACAGCCGUUGCAACAAAUCUAUCCAUAGCCGUAUAAUGAACACAAAUAUCCAAAUUAUUGUAACAAAAUAGUGUACUUUCGAUAUGCGCUGGCUGAUUGAUUAACACAUCACCUCCCACACACUCAAGCACACACCGAGAGACUUACCUGUGGGUGCCGUCGCAAUCCACUGAAAAUUGCGCGGUUGUGCAUCAUCAGCGGAGAACGUUAAAAGUGCCGCGACUGCAUUGUUUUGACUUUGAUCGUGUAUCGUGGUCUCUGUACCUUUUUUUUUACAUUUUUACCCAAAGCCUCCCCGACCUCACAGAACCCCUCGGAGAAAAAUAAAAAUCAAAAACCCAACAAAAUAACUAAGGCAACAACAGACGAUCGUUGCAAGGCGCGUGCGUGUUGUAACUUUUGAUUAGCCCCUGAGUCGGAUUCGGAUUUGGAUGGGGAUUGGGAUCUUCUAGUGCGCUUGCUUGCGUUUUUCGUAACUUAUCGCCGCCUACAUCGCCUCGUGCAUUCGCCGGCGCUGCUUCUCUUUUCUUUCCAUAAUCAUCUUCAGGGUCCCGCUCUGCAGUCGGCUGAAAUGUUUGGCCAAUUCGUUGCCGUUCAGGCCGUGUAACCAAAUCAAUUAUAUAAUUUUUAUAAUUUCCACAUACCUGCCAACCAAAACGCAGAAAUCCCCGUAAAAAUCAAUUACACAAAAGAAGUGAAAGAGAGAAGAGCUUUGAAUAGCGACGGUUCGCGGUGCUAAUGCCGAAAGGAAACUCCCCGACAAUCGCCAAAAAAUUGAAAAGAAAUAAAUUAUUCGAAUACAAAAUGCCCAUAAAUAAUACAAGACUGGGGGCCCUGCUGGUGCUCCUCGCCGGGUGCUGCUACCUCGGUUACUUCGGAUCGGAGGCGCAUGUGGCCCUCACCUAUCCACCUGCCCGCAAGUACGAUCUGGACUUUUUGGACAAUUCCCGCACCAAAGCGCCAUGCGGCAUGCCAAAGGGCUCGAUACGCACCUCCCUGCUCGCCGGAUCGCAGUUCAACGUCACCUGGCACUUGGCCUAUCCGCACAAGGGCGGCUUUCGGUUGCAACUAUUGGAUGCCCUUGAUCGACCUGUUUUGGACCUGACGCCCCAUGUGAAUAACUCGGAGUUUGUGCGCACAGAUGUCACGGCCCAGGCGUAUCAGGUGGCCAUACCCAAGGACUUCGAGUGCUUCAACUGCACCCUGCGACUGCUCCGCCAGGCGGACGAAUGGUCCAACAGCUAUCGCUUCUGGUCCUGCGCGGACGUGGACGUUCGGCAGCGCAAGGACUUCAAGGAGACCUGCUCCGGAAACGGCAAGUACUUCCCGUCUCGCUGCAAGUGCGACAAAAACUUCUACGGCCCGCAGUGCCAGUACAAGGACGAGUGCACCGCCGAUGCCGACUGCGGUGUCCAGGGCAAGUGCGUCGACUUGGGAGGCACCUCGCUGCCCCAACGUCAGUGCUACUGUAACUUUGGCUGGUUUGGCAUCGGAUGCAACAAGCGAUCGCCCUACAAGAGCACGAGCCUGGACCUCUCCUCCUACGCCAAGAAGGAGCUGUCCCCCGACUACCACAUGUACUGGCGACUCCUGGAGGAGCAAAAGGAGAUCGAAGUGGUGCUCAAGGUGAACAGCACCUCGUGGGUGGGUCUGGGUUGGAGGCCCCGUCACCUCACUCCGGAGUGCAAGAACUUCCCGUUGGUUCGGGACAUCGGAGAUCUGACCACAACUCUGGAGAGUCCUGCACCGGAACCCAAGAGCGAACCAGAGCCAAAGAGCGAGCCAGGAAGCGCGGCAGAGCCUAAGAGCGAGCCAAAGAGUGAGCCUAAGAGCGAACCUGAACCUAAGAGUGAGCCGGGCAGCGAAGCCGAGCCAAAGAGCGAGCCUAAGAGUGAACCGAAGAGCGAGCCUAAGAGCGAACCGAAGAGCGAGCCUAAGAGCGAACCGAAGAGCGAGCCUAAGAGCGAACCGGAGCCUAAGAGUGAACCCACAAGCGAGCCCGAGCCUAAGAGCGAACCGAAGAGCGAGCCGGAGCCUAAGAGCGAACCGAAGAGCGAGCCAGAGCCUAAAAGCGAGCCGGCAAGUGAAGCUGAGCCUAAGAGUGAACCUAAGAGUGAACCACAAAACAAAGCAGAGCUUAGAAUCCUGCCUAAAAGCGAAUUACAGAGCCAGACUGAGCCUAAGAGCGAACCAAAGAGCGAACCUGAGCCUAAGAGCGAGCCAGAAAGCCAAGCGGAGCCCAAGAGCGAGCCUAAGAGCGAACCUAAGAGCGAGCCAGAGCCCAAGAGUGAGCCUAAGAGUCAACCGUCUAGCGAACCAGAACCUAAGAGUGAGCCCGAAAGCCAAGCAGAGCCCAAGAGCGAGCCUAAGAGUGAACCUAAGAGCGAGCCGGAACCUAAGAGCGAGCCAGAAAGCGAGGCCGAACCCAAGAGCGAACCCAAGAGUGAACCUAAGAGCGAGCCAGAGCCGAAGAGCGAGCCUAAGAGCGAACCAGAGCCCACUAGUGAACCCAAGAGCGAGCCAGAGCCUACAAGCGAACCUCAGAGCGAACCCGAGCCCACAAGUGAACCCAAGAGUGAACCAGAGCCGACGAGUGAACCAGAGGCAGAUUCCAAAAAUGGCGCCAAGUCCAAGAGGGUGGCGAAGGAGCACAUCCCACUGGAAGGAGUUACCUCCGUGUCCACUAGUGUUUCCUAUAGCACCAGGUCUGAUCGUCAACGUCGUGAAGCUUCGGAAUCCCCCAAGUAUCGGCUGAAUCCGUACACACCCCGUCACGACUUCAACCCCAUGGACUGCACGGAUAUUGUGAUCGGAUCUGCCCGCGGAAUGGCCAGUCGAGUGGGAGACUAUUAUACCCGCGAUCGGUCGACGCCACGCAGCGACGAGUUCUACGGUGGAAAGUCAAACCUGGCCUUGGGAACUGGCUUUGAAGAGAACGGCGUGACCACCAUCAUCUUCCGCAAGAAGCUGGUCUCCAACGAACCCACCGACCACACCCUGGACGAUGCUCUGACUCACGUGAUCUGGGCCAAGGGCCAGGAACCGAACAGCUAUGUGCAUGUACCGGCCUCCGGCCUAGAGACAGAAUCCUCGUCCGUCAAGGACUUCUAUCAGCCGGACGAGCUCAAGUACCACGGUCACCAGAUGCAACGCGGCGCCACUCAAAUCAACUUCUUCGAAAAGGAUAAGCCCGCCACGAGCACUGAUCGCAAUGAUCUAAGCACGAAUGUCCUGGACAACGACUGUUACGGCCACUGGAAGUACCCUUCGAACUGCUCGCCGGAGGAGCACACCUGCGAGUACUACGCCAGCUGGGAGACCGCCGGCAAGGGUGACGAGAUGCGCUGGCACAUCGAGACGUCGAACACCCAGACCUGGACCGGAAUCGGCUUCAGCGAUGAUCAGAGAAUGUCCCAGACGGACUCGAUCAUUGGAUGGGUGGACCAACGCAGUGGCCGACCCUUCCUCAUGGACACCUGGGUGCUGGGCUAUGCUCCGCCUAAGCUCGACGAUCGCCAGGACAUCUACAACGCCUCCGGACGCAUCGAGAAGGGCGUGACCAUACUGGAGUUCAAUCGCAAGCGCGUCAGUAACGACGAGCAGGACCUUUCCUUCACGGACGACCAUUGCCUGUAUCUGUUCUUCCCGGUUUUGGGAGGAGCCUUUAAUGUGGUGAACAAGAAAAUCAGGAAACACGAACAGGUGCCGCCAAUCUCUUCGCGUCGUGUCUGCAUAAAGUCCUGUGGUAAAGAACUGGAGGCAGUUUUCGUGGGCACCAGCACUCCGGCGCCCAGUCGUUUGGUCUAUGCCGUGGGCGUCAAGCUGAUGAACCUAGGCGAGUCCUACGAGGCACCCAAACCCGGCACCGUGGAGUUCAAUAACUUGGCAGCCACUAUUUCGGACUCAUUCAAUGGCAUCCUCAGCCCCCUGACUGGUUACUAUAAGACAGAGAUCCUGGGAUUCGAGAAAGAGGGCAGCACCUUGAAGGCCAAGGUUCAGGCCAUGUUCGACAAGUCGGAUGUGGAGAAGCUGCACGAUUUGGACAACAAUACGGUGGACAAUGGCGGAGAAGUGGCAGCCCAAAAGAAUGCCGAUGCGAUUCGCUCGGCACUGAAGGAUCAAAUCGCCACCGGUCGCGUGGGUUCACUUACGGUAGAUCCGCAGUAUCUGGACUUUGAAGCCUUAGAGUACAAGAGCGCCUCAGAGCCUACUGCCAAGGAGACGCUACUCUCGUUCUUUGACCUGUCCGAGACACGUCUCUACAUUGUUCUGGGCCUGAUUGCCGCCCUGGUGCUCAUCGCCCUCAUCCAGGCCUUCUGCACCAUCUGGAAGACGUCCCGCAAAAGCAAAAGCACCAAGCUGGUUUACGUGAUUCCCGAAGAGUGGCGCAUGUAUCAACAGCGACAGCACCAGCGAUACUAUCAGCCCUCUAGCGAUCUAUAAGACUCACAAUCAGUACAAUCCCCGUCAGUGUUAAGAUCAGAUUACGUAUAGGAUAUCCCACUGCCCGAUCCAUCUGAAACCCGAGAUACAGCUACAACUGCCUUAAAAGCAUUUAUGUUUUCUACUUAAAAGUUAAUAUCAUAGAUAGUUUAAAUUCCAGUAUCCUUUCAAAUAUUUUUAUCAAUCUGUAUCUGUAUCUGUAUCUGUAUCUGAAUCUGCGUGUGUGUGCGUGUGCCGCGUUUUAUCAAAAUUCUAUAACCAAAUGGGAGAAGCUCAUCCAGAACUCACCGUGGAAGGAGUUCGCGUCAAACACCAACUACGCCUUCGAUCCCUACGGAGAGACGGAG